CUAGCGACUUCAGAGUUUGAUCCUGGCUCAGGAUGAACGCUGGCGGCGUGCAUAACACAUUCAAGUCGAACGGACUUAGAGGGGCUUGCUCCUUUAAGUUAGUGGCGGACGGGUGAGUAACGCGUGAGUAACCUGCCUAUACGAGGGGAAUAACACAGGGAAACUUGUGCUAAUACCACAUAACAUGUAGAAUUCGCAUGGAUACUGCAUCAAAGAGCAAUCGCGUAUAGAUGGACUCGCGUCUGAUUAGAAAAAUAGUUGGUGAGGUAACGGCUCACCAAGUCGACGAUCAGUAGCCGAACUGAGAGGUUGAACGGCCACAUUGGAACUGAGAAACGGUCCAG
rnacentral:rRNA from 1 species